UUGCUGUGAUGACUAUCUUAGGACACCUUUGGAAUACCCAUGAAAAAAAAAAGUUACUUCUGAGCAAC
rnacentral:snoRNA from 1 species